GACGAACGCUGGCGGCGUGCCUAACACAUGCAAGUCGAGCGAUGAAGCUCCUUCGGGAGUGAAUUAGCGGCGGACGGGUGAGUAACACGUGGGUAACCUGCCUCAUAGAGGGGAAUAGCCUUCCGAAAGGGAGAUUAAUACCGCAUAACAUAGCACCACCGCAUGGUAGAGUUAUCAAAGGAGCAAUCCGCUAUGAGAUGGACCCGCGGCGCAUUAGCUAGUUGGUGAGGUAACGGCUCACCAAGGCGACGAUGCGUAGCCGACCUGAGAGGGUGAUCGGCCACAUUGGAACUGAGACACGGUCCAGACUCCUACGGGAGGCAGCAGUGGGGAACAUUGCGCAAUGGGGGAAACCCUGACGCAGCAACGCCGCGUGAGUGAAGAAGGCCUUAGGGUUGUAAAGCUCUGUCAUAUGGGAAGAUAGUGACGGUACCAUAAGAGGAAGCCACGGCUAACUACGUGCCAGCCGCCGCGGUAACAC
rnacentral:rRNA from 1 species